UUCAAUGUAUUUUAUUUAAAAUAUUUACUUUACACGUAAAAGUACCACAAGUGUGGCUUUGUGA
rnacentral:tRNA from 1 species